UUACGAUACCUUAUUACACAGUUUUUGACAAAUAUACGUUUAUAUAUAACUUCAAGUGUAUAUAUACAAUUAAAAAAAAUGUAAGUUUAAAAUGUGGAUUAUCAAAUUAUAUUAACAAACUCCCCUAACUGGAUAUGUAAAACCGCCAAAUCUUUUAAGUUUUAAACAACAAUCAAUAACUAAUUAUCUUAGUCAUUUUCAUAAUACUUAGGUAAAUAAAAAUCAAUUUUUACACUAAAAAAUAAUAGGGUAUCUAAUCCUAGUUUAUUUUCAAAAUUUCAAAGUACUAAAAAUAAAGAAAAACAAAAAAAAAAACAAAUCAAUU